UACGAAGGGGGCUAGCGUUGCUCGGAAUCACUGGGCGUAAAGCGCACGUAGGCGGGUUGCUAAGUCAGGGGUGAAAUCCUGGAGCUCAACUCCAGAACUGCCUUUGAUACUGGCGGCCUUGAGUCCGGGAGAGGUGAGUGGAACUGCGAGUGUAGAGGUGAAAUUCGUAGAUAUUCGCAAGAACACCAGUGGCGAAGGCGGCUCACUGGCUCGGUACUGACGCUGAGGUGCGAAAGCGUGGGGAGCGAACAGG
rnacentral:rRNA from 1 species